rnacentral:lncRNA from 1 species
CAGGACCAUAGAAAUAGAACUGGAAAGGCACGUCAAGAGCUCUCUAAGUCCAAAUUCCACUUUUUUACCAGUGGGAAAACCAUAGCCCAGGAGGUCACUAACGGAUAUAACACUACAACUUCCUGGAUAGCUGAUAAAAAGGAAAAGAAAGAAAAAAGAAGCCAAAGCUGCAACAGGUUCAGGCCCCAUGUAGGACACCUCUGGUCAAGAGAAA